rnacentral:lncRNA from 1 species
GGAAAUCAUGGGAACGUCAUGGAAGUUAAUGAAGUGGAUCGUCUCGGUUCUAGAGGGCGACCUGGGUUUUACAGAGUUACCCUGAAGAUUUCUGUUGUGGGAAAAUACCCGGGAAGUGACAGAGCCAAGCCAGUCAUUACUGGAGGCACGUCGAGGAAAAGACAAGACUGACUGCCUGCUCCAGAGCCCACUGCCCUGCAAGGGGCAUGAACACAACAGCUUGUCUCAAUGUUGCUGGACAUCAGAUGCCAGAACCUUCACCACUACUGUCCUCUAAAAGCUUGAUGCCCUCACACCAUCCUGGCCAAAAGAUGGAUUCCUCAUGGUACCUGCUUCCUCACAUAGUGGCUUCUCAAUGAGUCUCACACAGGACACACCAACCACUGAGAAACCAGUAUUCUUCAAUGACACCCUCCUUCAGUCUUUGGAUGUGGGCUGCUGCAGAAAGGAGGCAUGUGGCCUUGGCAAGGCAACUCUCUUCAGUCAAGACAAAUAUUGCAAAGAGCUGACAGCUGUGG